CGUGAGCUCCUCCAGGCCCGCGACGUCCGCAAGCAGCUUGGACUGCGGCCGCAUCAGGACGCCCUGCCCUCGGCCCCAGCAGAGUGGACAUCAGGCCUGGAGAGGCAGAAAUGGUCUUGCUGUGUAGUCCAGGCUAGCCUUGAUCUCACCAUGUGGCCUGGCCCUUGAAGCGAUCCUCCUGCCUCAGCCUCCUGUUGCUGGGAUUACAGGCUUGUGCUGCCACGCCCAGCACUGCUUGGAUUGCAGAAGCCGCACUUCCAGGGUUUCCCGUGCCCCUCAGCUGCCUCUGCAGAGCGGCUCGAACACCUGGCAGACUUAGUGGGGCUCAGAGGGCGUCCUCCCGCUGGUCAGGCUGCGACUUUCCUGCGUGGGCUUUGGCCCAGUGGGACGCGCUGUGGAGCUCAGCCUUGCCGGGCGAGCAGCGCUGGGAAGGGACUGGCACUUGGCUUGCUGCUGGGCCCCUGGAGACCGGGUGACUGACACCCAAGCCGCCUGCACGGCUGAGCGUCACCAGAUCCGCCCGGGUUGGCUGUCAGACACGGCCCGUGGGGUGGUGCGAAGUGCAGAGUCUGAGGAGACCUGAGGCUCGGUUUCAUGGCCUUGUCCCCGAGUGUCCUACUCAGGCCACCACACCACUCCUCCACCCACCAACACUUGCCCUUCGAGAAUCUUCUCCAUGAGCAGCAAGCAGAAGCACAAGAGGAGUGAAUCUAGCCUGGAGUGUGUGAAGUGUUUUGCGGUGAUCUGGAACCCAUAGGAGGUGGCCUGCCAGGAGACAGCAGCCGUCCCUGGCCUGCUCAGCCGCACGCAUGACGCCAGGGAAGGAAGCUUCUCCCGGUAGCUGGAACAUGGGUGCAUCAUCCUUGCCUCUUCCUGGAAGGGGGCAGGUGACUUGGUUAGGUUCUCGUGGAUGUGAAAAGAGUAAGACCAGAGGACAAGGGGUCUGGGAAGAGACGCGUGCCUGGUGUGAGCAGACGGCCCUCCGAAGUCAUUGCAACACGCCCACACCAGUCUGACUUCGGGGUUUUUUGGUACUGGGGAUCGAACUCGGGUCCUUGUGCUAGAACUUUGGUUUUAAGCCAGGUCGUCCUUGUGGUUUAUGCUCUGGAGGCCACCGGCCAGCACCAGCAAGUAGCCAGUGAGUUCAGGGGCCACAGUUCCUGUGCCACUGUGAUGCUCCGCUGGAGAGGACCAGGACCUGGGGUGGUCAGCGAGACACUGAGGAACGUGCCCUGAGGGGUCAGUGGCCGGAGAGCAAGGGGCCCGGAGUGGACGAGGAAGGGAUGGGCUCUCAGCAACACGGCAGCCUCUUACAAGCCGCGGGGAGGCGCGCUGGCCUCCGCCCCGAGUUUCUGCUCACACUCGCUCUGUGAGGCUGUGCUUAGAAGGCACUCUGAUCCGCUCAUUUCAGACGUACGCACACUGCCCACUGCACUGUGCCAGAGGCCUGCUUUUUACUAGUGAUUUUUAUUUUGCAACUCUCGAGAGAGCUAUCAUUCUUAUGCAAAUUUUCAGAGGAAAAUGUCCUCAAAAAAUUAAUUAAGAUACUAUUAGGCAGUGACAGUUCCAUCCUAAUCGCCACCCACUUAAGCAGCAAUUAUAAGAUGCCAUUGAUUGAUUUCAGACGUGGUAAGUGGUGGGAAAUUUCUGAGACUGGUAAAAUAUGAUACAUACUUAUAUUUUAACUACUUUUUGAUUUCUUCUUUCUCCCUGUUAUUUUAUAUUGGGUGGUGGUAAUGAACUCAAGGUAAUCGCUGGGAAAUGAAGGGACAUCCAAUUACCUAGAACUUCUGAGCUUGAAGCCGAGGCAGUGACGGAGUGAUUUUGAUCUCUGAACAACCCGGAUGCUCCUUGCUGGUUGGGGUGCACCCACAGCAUAAGAGGCAGACGUGAGAGUUCACGUAGAUGAAGGGGAGUAUGUGCAGGUGUGGACUGGAGCCGUGUUUCGGUUUUGAUUUCUCGUUUCUGCUUGUGGAUCCCUCAGCACAUCACCCUCGCCGUGUGUCCGAGCUCGGUCUUCCCCUCAGAAGCCUGACGUCAGCGAGGCCCUUGCUCCAGUCCUCCGCAGCACGAGCCUGUGCUCCGGCUCAACAGUGGACUUGGAUAGGGAGCUAGUUUUGCAAAAAGAAGAGAGGGCGAGGAGCACUGCUACUCCUGGCUGUCUUAGCCACGCUGCCUGGCUUCCAAGGCUGGUGCUGCCAGCGGGGCCCCCUGCCCAGUGCACGAGGCACUGUGGACUCGGUCCCAGGUACGGCGGGAGCCAUGCCUCGCAGGAUACUCUGGGGCGAGUCUUGCUUGCGCUCCCAGCUGCACAGCCCUGGCCUGGUUGCUCUCCUUGCUGGUGUGUGAACAGGCCAGAGCCUUCCAAUCCUGGAGCAGCAGCUCGAGUUUCUGUGUUCACAGUGAGGCUUUCUGGCUGACCCAGACCUGCAUUGACUUAGGAGAUAUCCUUCCAAAAGAAAAUGUUCUAUUUGUCCAGCAGUAACACUGUUUACAGAGCUGCAAGCUUUACUCUUUGAUGAUAAGGAAAGUUGAGAAACACAGAUGUUUUUCACUGGCCAGUGGUACUGUCUGGGUCAGCCUCCAGCUAGCAUAAAUAAUCGAGGAGGAACACAAUGCUCUUUGAAAUAUGAAAAAUCUUUUAAGAAAUGUAUUAUUGAUGCUAUGAAAACCAAAGACGAGAUUCAGGAAUGGAAAAUAAAGAUGGUACCUGCCAUACAGGGUGUGGUGCUGUCCACUCUGGCCAACAGACAGACAAGACCUUACAGGGAAUGAACAGCUGGUCACUGGCGCGGCACUGCUCAUGGGUCGAAUGCAGUGCUUCCAGCUCUUUCCCCAAAUGGCCUGGUAGAGAACCCUGCUUCCCAUUCACCUCGCCUCAACACGGCUGCAGGGCUUCGCCCUCAGCAUUAAUCUGUGUGUAUUUGCUAGACCGGAUCGUAAACGAAUGCAGGGAAUCUAAAUGGCCCCACCUCCGACGUGGCCCGCUGUGCACUGGGCAUGGGUCUAGAUCCCGAGGGUGCCCAGGGCUGGCCCAGCAGCCAGCAGAGAAAUCCAGGUUGUGGUGGCUUCCAUAUGACAGUUCCGCCCCUGCCUGCCUGCAGCACUUUCCACCCCAGACGCCCGGUCAGCCUCCGUGCUUCCUCUGCUUCCUCUGCUCUGGCUGGGCCCCACCAUCUGCACCCCGAGUCUGGGCUGUGGUGGAGUCUUAGCAGACGUGGCGCGACUGCGGCGUGUUUUUCUGUGCAAGGUUCGCUCUGUUCACUUCUGAUGUCCAGUGUUGCUUUUUCCAGUCAUUGGCCUAAUGAGCCCUCACUUCCCGUGGACUAACUUCUGGGUGCUUCCAGGCGGCCCACGGGGACACCCUCCUGCCGGGAGAGACAUCUGUGCACUGUUCCUUUCAGCCCUGUGCUGCCCCUGGAUGAUUUUAGUGACGGUGUCACCUGCUGCCUGGGAGGGCAGAGCCGAUCCCCUGGUGUGUCCCACAGGAGGCAUUGGGCUUCUCCUUCUCACCUUUAUUUCGACAGAGACACACUGAAUCCCCAAAGUAAGUUUUGCUGAAGGUGGAAAUCUGAUAAGGUGGCAAUAAACACUGAGACUAGGAUCAUGAAACUGAGCCCUCUUAUACUCAGUCCGGCUUCCCCAUCUUCGCUUUCAACCCAUGGGGCGGCCUUUCCUCUCGCUCUGCUCUCGAGGUCUGUUUCUGCAAGUGCAGACCUCGGCGUCCUGGGACAGGAGCUGCACCCACUCCGACCCUCAGCGCUGGUCCCUGCUGCCCGAGGGCCUCCUCUCUCCAGACCUGGAUCUCGGUGUAGCCGUGAGUUACAGGGGAAGAGACGCCUCAGGGGCCCAUCCCAGCCCGGCCAGGCCUGUCUGAGGGAUUUGCCAGGCGCCAGGCCUUCUCCGAGUGCUGGUGAUAAAAAUUUAUCUCGUUCAGAAAAGAUCAUUCUUCGGCUAAGAAAAGCCAGAUCUUGCUUGCUCCGGGCAUGGCUGGACACAAGUGACGUCGUCCGAUCCUCUCUCAUUUGACAGAGCUUCCUGUUCCGUAUCCGUCUCCAUCUCUGCCCCUCCCUCUUUUUCUUCUUUUUUCUCCUUUAUUUCCCCUUCUACUGAGUCCAUCUGCAUGGAAAAUGCCUCACAUUUUGACAAAAAUGACCACCAGCAAUUUUGGAUUUAUGUUAAAUGACAGCAAUCUCAACUCAGAGAGGAAGAUGUGAUGUCUUCCCAAUGGUCCUAGGAAGGUCCCAAAGGACACUGGAUGAGCCUGGCUCCCCACCCGGCACUGAGGGUAGAGCAUGGGAUUGCCCAGGCCGGGUGACUCCCACCCCUGUGGACAUGGCUGUGGUACUGUGGGUGGCCUGACAGCUCUUGUGUUUGUGGAGCAACAAGUUCAAGGAGAGCAGGGUUGCAGGAAGGGCAGUGGUAGGAAGAGGUGAAGUGACCCAUGUUGGCCAGUGUCACUGAGGCAGGGCCCGCAGGAGCGAAGUGUCCUUCGCCACAUGACGGACGCCACGGGGAAUUUUAGUCAGAGGAGAGAUGUGAUCCUUUGUCCUCUCCUUCAAAGCCUGCCCUGGCCGGUGUGGGUGAGGCGUGGGGAGUCACAGAACACAAGAGGUGGAAGUCUCCAUUUCUAAGAACGAAUGGGUCUCUCCCUUGGCCCGCGUUCUGCUCGAGACUCAUGUGGGUGUCCACUGCGGCCUCACACAGGGCUCCUAGCAGCAGUGCUCAUACCAGCCAAGCACAGGAACAACUCGAACGCCCACCAGCUGCUGGCUGGAGACCAAGCUGUGUUCAUCCUCCAGCAACGCCUGUACAGCACAAGAGGGAAGACUCAGCAGUAACAAUGCUGGCGCCACACGAGGGUCACAUCAGCACAACAUGAAGGAGCCUGGGCGUGCAGGACCACAGCUGUGAGACCGACUCCAUCUGUGGCAUCCGGAGAGCGCAGAGCUGUGGGUGGAGACAGAAG
rnacentral:lncRNA from 1 species